rnacentral:rRNA from 1 species
GACGUAGGGCGCGAGCGUUGUCCGGAUUUAUUGGGCGUAAAGAGCUCGUAGGCGGCUUGUCGCGUCGUCCGUGAAAACCUGCAGCUCAACUGCAGGCUUGCGGGUCGAUACGGGCAGGCUAGAGUUCGGCAGGGGGAGACUGGAAUUCCUGGUGUAGCGGUGGGAAAUGCGCAGAUAUCAGGAGGGAACACCGGUGGGCGAAAGGGCGGGGGUCUCUGGGGGCAGUAACUGACUGAGGAGCGAAAAAGCUGGGGGGGAGCAAACAGGGAAUUAGAAAAACCCCCUGGGUAAGUCCCAGACCCAAAGUCCUCUGCUACC